rnacentral:rRNA from 1 species
GAGUUUGAUCCUGGCUCAGAACGAACGCUGGCGGCAGGCCUAAUACAUGCAAGUCGAGCGCGCCCUUCGGGGUGAGCGGCGGACGGGUGAGUAACGCGUGGGAAUAUGCCCUUCUCUAAGGAAUAGCCUCUGGAAACGGAGAGUAAUACCUUAUACGCCCUUUGGGGGAAAGAUUUAUCGGAGAAGGAUUAGCCCGCGUUAGAUUAGGUAGUUGGUGGGGUAAUGGCCUACCAAGCCUACGAUCUAUAGCUGGUUUGAGAGGAUGAUCAGCCACACUGGGACUGAGACACGGCCCAGACUCCUACGGGAGGCAGCAGUAGGGAAUCUUAGACAAUGGGCGCAAGCCUGAUCCAGCCAUACCGCGUGUGUGAAGAAGGCCCUAGGGUUGUAAAGCACUUUAAGUUGGGAAGAAAAGUUAUUGGCUAAUACCCAAUGACCGUGACAUUACCAUCAGAAUAAGGACCGGCUAAUUCCGUGCCAGCAGCCGCGGUAAUACGGAAGGUCCAAGCGUUAAUCGGAAUUACUGGGCGUAAAGCGCGCGUAGGUGGUUUAUUAAGUUGGAUGUGAAAUCCCCGGGCUCAACCUGGGAACUGCAUCCAAAACUGAUUCACUAGAGUACGAUAGAGGGAGGUAGAAUUCACAGUGUAGCGGUGGAAUGCGUAGAUAUUGUGAAGAAUACCAAUGGCGAAGGCAGCCUCCUGGAUCUGUACUGACACUGAGGUGCGAAAGCGUGGGUAGCGAACAGGAUUAGAUACCCUGGUAGUCCACGCCGUAAACGAUGUCAACUAGCUGUUGGAAAGCAUUGCUUUUCAGUGGCGCAGCUAACGUAGUAAGUUGACCGCCUGGGGAGUACGGCCGCAAGGUUAAAACUCAAAUGAAUUGACGGGGACCCGCACAAGUAGUGGAGCAUGUGGUUUAAUUCGAAGAUACGCGCAGAACCUUACCAACACUUGACAUGUUCGUCGCGACUCUAAGAGAUUAGAGUUUUCGGUUCGGCCGGACGAAACACAGGUGCUGCAUGGCUGUCGUCAGCUCGUGUCGUGAGAUGUUGGGUUAAGUCCCGCAACGAGCGCAACCCUCACUUUUAGUUGCCAUCAUUAAGUUGGGCACUCUGAAAGAACUGCCAGUGAUAAGCUGGAGGAAGGUGGGGAUGACGUCAAGUCCUCAUGGCCCUUACGUGUUGGGCUACACACGUGCUACAAUGGUAUCUACAACAGGAAGCAAGACUGCGAAGUUAAGCAAAUCCCUAAAAGAUACCUCAGUUCGGAUUGCACUCUGCAACUCGAGUGCAUGAAGCUGGAAUUACUAGUAAUCGUGGAUCAGCGUGCCACGGUGAAUGCGUUCCCGGGUCUUGUACACACCGCCCGUCACACCAUGGGAGUUGGUUCUACCUUAAGGCAAGGUUUCAAACCCUUGACCACGGUAUAGUCAGCGACUGGGGUGAAGUCGUAACAAGGUAACC